rnacentral:rRNA from 1 species
GGGGAAUAUUGCACAAUGGGCGAAAGCCUGAUGCAGCGACGCCGCGUGGGGGAUGACGGCCUUCGGGUUGUAAACCUCUUUCAGUUGGGACGAAGCCCCUCGGGGUGACGGUACCCUCAGAAGAAGCACCGGCUAACUACGUGCCAGCAGCCGCGGUAAUACGUAGGGUGCAAGCGUUGUCCGGAAUUAUUGGGCGUAAAGAGCUCGUAGGUGGUUUGUCGCGUCUGCUGUGAAAUCCUUCCGCUCAACGGGAGGCUUGCAGUGGGUACGGGCAGACUAGAGUGCAGUAGAGGAGUCUGGAAUUCCUGGUGUAGCGGUGGAAUGCGCAGAUAUCAGGAGGAACACCGGUGGCGAAGGCGGGACUCUGGGCUGUUACUGACGCUGAGGAGCGAAAGCAUGGGGAGCGAAC